UUGUUUUUCCCCUUAUGUAUUGGCUAUGGAGCAGUCCUUUAGCAUUACUCGAGAAGUCUCGGCCACCUAUGUACUUCCAUAUCCUAGGUUCAGGUCACGGUGGUCGUAUACCUAACAAUCGCUCGGAGAAGUUUCAGUUACGUAAUGCACAUGAGUAGUUGUAAUUCGUUUUCUUUGCGAAUCUAACUCGGCGAAAAGAUUGUAGAUAAGGUUUAGUUUGGCUGUUUUAUUAAUGCCAGAUAUAGUUGUUGUGCUUAUUACAUACUUCAGCACUGACAUGAAAAUCAUGAAGCAGCAAAUUGUAUAAACGUUUUGAAUCUUAAAAGAGGGAUGAGAUCAAGAUUGUCAAUUGCUCCAGUAAAGAUUAAUGAUUGUCUACUCUAUGUUUAAUCAAUGGGUAAGUUACUACAA